GACGGAGGAGGCAGGCGGUAUCCGGAAUUAUUGGGCGUAAAGGGUACGUAGGCGGCUGGUCAAGUCUGGGGUCAAAGGCCACAGCUCAACUGUGGGAAGGACCUUGAAACUGACCGGCUAGAGUGAGGUAGGGGUUGCGGGAAUUCCCGGUGUAGCGUUGAAAUGCGUAGAGAUCGGGAAGAACACCUGAGGCGGAAGCGCGCAACUGGGCCUCAACUGACGCUGAGGUACGAAAGCUAGCGGAGCGAAUGGG
rnacentral:rRNA from 1 species